GUGCCUACGGGACGCAGCAGUGGGGAAUAUUGCACAAUGGGGGGAACCCUGAUGCAGCGACGCCGCGUGGGUGAAGGAGUACUUCGGUACGUAAAGCCCUAUCAGCAGGAAAGAAAAUGACGGUACCUGACUAAGAAGCCCCGGCUAACUACGUGCCAGCAGCCGCGGUAAUACGUAGGGGGCAAGCGUUAUCCGGAUUUAUUGGGUGUAAAGGGUGCGUAGACGGGAUAACAAGUUAGUUGUGAAAACCCUCGGCUCAACUGAGGAACUGCAACUAAAACUAUUAUUCUUGAGUGCAGUAGGGG
rnacentral:rRNA from 1 species